AUGGUAGACAAAACCCACUACACCGAUGGCUCCGAAUUAACUUAUCAGGAGAAACAUCAUCUGGUCGAAUUUUGUACUGAUAUUGAGAAUUACAAUAUCUACAAUCAAACUCCUCAAGAUUAUGGUCAAUAUGUGCCACUAGUGCACGUGUUAAACUAUUGUAACUACCAUGGAGAUACCCUGAGAAUCCCAGAGGAUUGUGUGCCUCAUUUGAUGCAUCAGAAUGGCAGCCUUCGUGUUUUGAACAUAUAUCCAGGUCAUCCUAUGAAUCUCAACUGUCCAUACUGGAUUUCUCAAAGAAGUGGAGACAUGCUAAUCAAUAAAUGGAAAAAAAUGUAUGGACAGUCAUAA
rnacentral:rRNA from 1 species